rnacentral:rRNA from 1 species
AUUGAACGCUGGCGGCAGGCCUAACACAUGCAAGUCGAGCGGAUGAAGGGAGCUUGCUCCUGGAUUCAGCGGCGGACGGGUGAGUAAUGCCUAGGAAUCUGCCUGGUAGUGGGGGAUAACGUCCGGAAACGGGCGCUAAUACCGCAUACGUCCUGAGGGAGAAAGUGGGGGAUCUUCGGACCUCACGCUAUCAGAUGAGCCUAGGUCGGAUUAGCUAGUUGGUGGGGUAAAGGCCUACCAAGGCGACGAUCCGUAACUGGUCUGAGAGGAUGAUCAGUCACACUGGAACUGAGACACGGUCCAGAAUCCUACGGGAGGCAGCAGUGGGGAAUAUUGGACAAUGGGCGAAAGCCUGAUCCAGCCAUGCCGCGUGUGUGAAGAAGGUCUUAGGAUUGUAAAGCACUUUAAGUUGGGAGGAAGGGCAGUAAGUUAAUACCUUGCUGUUUUGACGUUACCAACAGAAUAAGCACCGGAUAACUUCGUG